GGGGGAGACUCUUUAAAGUGCGUCAGAGGGGAGAGGCGAACUUCUGGCCGGCGCGAUCCUGGAGGGACGGAUCCAGGUCCGGACUGGAACGGACUCUCUGCCGCUGCCAGCCAGCCAGACGGGCGGCCGGGGGGAGACAGACGCGAGGAGACGCGGCAGCAGGCGGAGGUCCCGAGAGGCGCCGCGUCGAGUCCCGCCGGGAGUCAGCGCAUCUGACCUUCGACACGUUGACUUGAAGGAAGCCAGUUUCAGGGAUCUCCGAGAGAGCAUUCGCUUCAUCUAAGGUCGUGUCUAGGACGAUUCCCUCCAAAAUAUCGGAUGAACAGAGUUUCGACUUCCGAAAACUCAGAGCCGAAAACCUCGUUGGUCCCUAAGAAUGCGUAACAGAGACUUCAUCUUUGAAUAAUUUCCCCCAUCCCAAACUCUCUGCAAAUGGACUCAGAGGCUAGAAUGGAACCCAUCUCCCUGAGGCGUUAGAUCUCUGUUCUUACAGACUUACAAAAUUGAUGUAUUUAUUCUUCUGAUUGAUUUAUUCUUCCGUCCAAGCAGCAUUGUAAGGAACAGAAGCUGUGUAAAGAAGUAGACAUUUUUCCAAACUGAUUUGAAUGGGAUCCUACUGCUGGGAGUAACUGGGACACAGAGGGAAGCACCAGAGACAGGAAUCAUUUUGCUCCAGUUCCACAGUCUCCUUCUCAAAGCCCUCCAGUUCCAAUGCAGAAAAUCUAUUACUUAAAGGAACAGCAGGAAACGUCUUCAUGAUCUCUUGCAUGGCUCAACCUAGAGUGAAGAACCAUGUCGAAACCAUUGGACCUCAUACUCCGAAUUUAUGAAGUAUCUUCUCAGUCCAUGAAGGAUCUCAGGAAAUGCAGAAGGAGUGGCUAUUUGCCAUGGGAAUGCAAGAACAGAGGGAUGCCCUACCUACAAUCCACAGAGAGUCAUGACCGAAGGUGGCUCUGAACUCAGUAAAUUCAAACUG